AUCCAGCUGAUGAGUCCCAAAUAGGACGAAAUGCGCAUCAAACUGUAU
rnacentral:hammerhead_ribozyme from 1 species